GGACGCUUAGCUCAGAGGUAGAGCGCUACCUUCACACGGUAGAAGUCAUAGGUUCGAAUCCUAUAGCGUCCA
rnacentral:tRNA from 1 species